rnacentral:rRNA from 1 species
CCCUUAGAUGUUCUGGGCCGCACGCGCGCUACACUGAUGAAUUCAACGAGCCUAGCCUUGUCCGAAAGGUCCGGGUAAUCUCUGAAACUUCAUCGUGAUGGGGAUAGAUCAUUGCAAUUAUGGGUCUUCAACGAGGAAUUCCUAGUAAACGCAAGUCAUCAGCUUGCAUUGAUUACGUCCCUGCCCUUUGUACACACCGCCCGUCGCACCUACCGAUUGAAUGGUCCGGUGAAAUCUCGGGACGGCGGCUUGGUCGCUUGCGUCCGACUGCUGAAACUUGAUUAAACCAUAUCAUUUAGAGGAAGGUGAAGUCGUAACA